UGCCCUUUGGCUUUGCAACGCUCAAGCGUUUGUUUCUCAUUCUGCGUCCGAUCAUGGCCUCGUUUCACUGCGAAACAUCUCCUAUAACCCAAGUAUUUCUUUAAAUGUUACUGUUAGCUGCUAGUCCUGAUUAGUGAAAAUUGGAAAUACAGAAUUUUUUUGAGAGAAAACUAUGUAUUAUGUGAACAGAUGCUGCCAAGUUAAUGCCAAAUUUAAGGAACCGCUGAGAAUGCUUUGCAGUAAUCAGCCUCUUGUAAAUAGAUUCUUUUCAGGUGCCCUGAUGUUUUGCUUUGGUUUUUGGUCCUUGCAGGCUUCCAUGAGUCAUUCAGUUAAUCUGAUGUUUUUGCCCCUUAAAUCGAGUGCUGUAACCCAAAUCUGAAUUAGUGCAACUAUAAUUUGGGGUUUUGGUCUUAUUCUCACUGCCCCUUAUCACUGAUGUUCUAAAUCUAAAAAAAGGAAAUAUGAAGGAAUGGUGCCAAGGAAGUAGGUACAUUUCAGCAGAAGGAAUUUGCUGUAGUUGAUCUCUUUUGUUAAAACGCGAUACCAACAAAGUAUCAUUUUUGAUUAGUAUGCAAGACUUUGACUUCCACUUUGAGAACGUUUUUAACAGCAACUUGGGGUUUUUUUUUGUUCUUUGUUUUUCGUAUGCUGUUUUUCGAGCCAUUGGCUAUAGAUUAAUAUUUACCCAAAUGUAAAAUGUCAUGUAAGGGCACCUGGGCGCCCCAAUUGGUUAAGUUCUUGAUUUUGGCUCAGGUCAUGAUAUUGCAGUUCUCAAGAUCGAGCCUCGUGUAGGGCUCUGCGCAGACACUGAGGAGCCUGCUUGAGAUAUGCCCUCCCGCCCUCUCCCCUCCCCAUGCUCGCUCUCAAAAUAAACAAACAUUAAAAAAUAAAGUGCCAUUUAGAUGAUAACGUGUCAGUACAGGUUCAUCGGUUGUAACAAAUGUCCCAUACUGGUUUGGGGGGUUAUUGAUAAUGGGGAGAAGCUAUCCAUGUGUGAAGGAAAAGGGGGUGGGAAGUCUCUGCCAUCCUUCCAAUUUUGCUGGGAACCUGAAGCUGCUCUAAAAAAUAGUCUUUCUAAAAAUCUCACUUAGUUCCUUUCCUCUUCCGAAUACUGAGGAUUUUUGUUUGCUUUAAUGUCAGUUUAUUUUUGAGAGAGCGAGAGUGGGGGAGAGGCAGAGAGGGAGACACAAUCCCAGAAGCAGGCUCCAAGCUGUCAGCACAGAGCCUGACAACAUGUGGCUCUAACUCACAAACUGAGAGCAUGACCUGAGCCAAAGUCAGACGCCUAACCGACUGAGCCGCCCAGGUGCCCCCCAAAUACUGGUCUUGAAAAAUAACCUAAGAUUUUGGUUUCUGUUACAAAA